rnacentral:rRNA from 1 species
AACAGGAUUAGAUACCCGGGUAGUCCACGCCGUAAACGAUGUCGACUUGGAGGUUGUGCCCUUGAGGCGUGGCUUCCGGAGCUAACGCGUUAAGUCGACCGCCUGGGGAGUACGGCCGCAAGGUUAAAACUCAAAUGAAUUGACGGGGGCCCGCACAAGCGGUGGAGCAUGUGGUUUAAUUCAAUGCAACGCGAAGAACCUUACCUAUUCUUGACAUCCAGAGAACUUUCCAGAGAUGGAUUGGUGCCUUCGGGAACUCUGAGACAGGUGCUGCAUGGCUGUCGUCAGCUCGUGUUGUGAAAUGUUGGGUUAAGUCCCGCAACGAGCGCAACCCUUAUCCUUUGUUGCCAGCGGUCCGGCCGGGAACUCAAAGGAGACUGCCAGUGAUAAACUGGAGGAAGGUGGGGAUGACGUCAAGUCCUCAUGGCCUUUAUGACCAGGGCUACACACGUACUACAAUGGCAUAAACAAAGGGCAGCAACAUCGCGAUGUGGAGCGAAUCCCAAAAUUAUGUCUCAGUCCGGAUUGGAGUCUGCAACUCGACUCCAUGAAGUUGGAAUCGCUAGUAAUCGCGGAUCAGCACGCCGCGGUGAAUACGUUCCCGGGCCUUGUACACACCGCCCGUCACACCACGGGAGUUGGUUGUACCAGAAGCAGUUGAGCCAACCGUUUACGGAGGCAGGCUGCCAAGGUAUGGCGAGUAACUGGGGUGAAGUCGUAACAAGGUAACC